rnacentral:tRNA from 2 species
GCGGCCAUAGCUCAGCUGGAUAGAGUGUCUGGCUACGAACCAGAAGGUCGGGAGUUCGAAUCUCUCUGGCCGCGCCA